rnacentral:rRNA from 1 species
AUGAACGCUAGCGACAGGCUUAACACAUGCAAGUCGAGGGGUAACAGGGUAGCAAUACCGCUGACGACCGGCGCACGGGUGAGUAACGCGUAUGCAACCUGCCUAUAACUGGGGAAUAGCUCCCUGAAAGGGGAAUUAACACCGCAUAACACUAUUGAUUCGCAUGGAUUAGUAGUUAAAUGUAGCGAUACAGGUUAUAGAUGGGCAUGCGUGACAUUAGCUAGUUGGUGAGGUAACGGCUCACCAAGGCUACGAUGUCUAGGGGUUCUGAGAGGAAGGUCCCCCACACUGGUACUGAGACACGGACCAGACUCCUAACGGGAGGCAGCAGUGAGGAAUAUUGGUCAAUGGGCGCAAGCCUGAACCAGCCAUGUCGCGUGCAGGAAGACUGCCCUAUGGGUUGUAAACUGCUUUUAUAGUAGAAGAAACACAUCUACGUGUAGAUGUCUGCCAGUAUACUAUGAAUAAGCAUCGGCUAACUCCGUGCCAGCAGCCGC